rnacentral:rRNA from 1 species
UUUAAAUUGCUGUGGUAUUUUGACUAUACGAAGGUAUUGAAAUAAGAUUUUAAAUGAGUGCUAAGAGAAUGGUUUAACAAUUAAUAACUUUCUUUAUUUUAAAAAUUAAAUUUAAUAUUUUUGUGAGGAAGCAAAAAUAUAAAUUAGGGACAAGAAGACCCUAUGAAUUUUUUAAUUAAUAUUUAUGUUAAUUGUUAAUUUAAUAUUAAUUUUGUUGGGGCGACAGAAAAAGAAUAAUUAUCUUUUACUAAUAAAUUAAUUUGGAUCCAUUAUUUAGUGAUUUAAUGAGAAAAAUACUCUAGGGAUAACAGCGUAAUAAUUUUGGAUAGUUCUUAUAGAUAAAAUAGUUUGCGACCUCGAUGUUGGAUUAGGAUUCUUUUUUAAUGAAGAAGUUAAAAAAAGAAGUUUGUUCAACUUUUAAAUUCCUACUUGAUCUGAGU